GACGAACCGUGCUAACGUUGUUCGGAAUCACUGGGCUUAAAGGGCGCGUAGGCGGGUCGGCAAGUCAGGGGUGAAAGCCCGCGGCUCAACCGCGGAAGCGCCUUUGAGACUGCCGAUCUCGAGGGAGGCAGGGGAGUGCGGAACUUCCGGUGGAGCGGUGAAAUGCGUAGAUAUCGGAAGGAACACCAGUGGCGAAAGCGGCGCUCUGGACCUCUACUGACGCUGAGGCGCGAAAGCCAGGGGAGCAAACAGG
rnacentral:rRNA from 1 species